UUUUCACAAUUAAUUACGUAAAAUAAUUUCUUAAUUUCUAAACAUUCCCACCUUUGAGUGGUAGAAUUGAAGAGUAUGUAAGAAAUAACUUCAAGAAAAUGAGUGUUUUGGCACUGUUUGUGCGCGGUGGGCGGUUGUCCGUCGGGCGCGAUGAUUUCACGAGGGCGCAGCCUGGGUGUAUUUACUUGCAUUGGAAUCUAGACCUUUCUUUCUUGUCUAAAGUGCCGCAUAUACAAAGUUGAAAUUCUGUUUGAAAACGAGCUUUAACUAAAACGUAUUGAGUUAACGCUUGUAUGAUAAUCCACUCUUGUUUAAUUCAAUUUAUAUUUAUUUUUACUGAAAAAACGUCAUAGACAGCAACAUGAGGAUAAGUUUCGUUGCGGAGAAUUAUAUUUCAUGAUACCUUUAAAUUAUUUCAUUAUGACUAGAAUUUGAUUUUCAGACCAUCGCAAUUUAGUGCAGUGCGUGGCUAGUGACAAUGACAUACCAGAGGUUAAACUUCGCCCAAUAGCAUAUAGAUUGCCAUCAUCAACACUGUUAUUGUGCAAGUUAGUUAUUCAUUAAUAAGUGUUCUUCUUCACAGAGACGUCUUCGUUUUAAAACUUCAGCAACCGGAGAGCGACAACGAGAUUGCCAGUCAGAAGUCCAUGGAGUAUAUAUGCAGUACAGUUUUUGACGUAAUGUAUUAUUAUUCUUUUUUGCUUCAACUCAGUUAAGUUUAAGAUAUGACUCUGAUAUUACUUGUUUACACAGGUUAAGCAAUAUCAUUUUCUAUGUAUUCGCAUUCUCUUUGAAUUUUUGCGUCUUAAGUCUAAAACCUUCUUUGUUUUGCUCGAUCGAAAUGGUGUCAAAUAAAAUUGCCUGUAUCCUA
rnacentral:lncRNA from 1 species